ensembl:snoRNA Gm23528 predicted gene, 23528
CCUGCCCUCAGAGGCCUUGCAGGUGAGGCUGCUGUGUCACAUGUGCAUCAGCAGGUGGCAGAGAGGAGAAAGGCUAUGUCUGCCCUCAGUGUUUUGACCAAUUAAUUUCUGAAUGAUUAGUAGCCUAACAUU